GAGCGGCGAACGGGUGAGUAACACGUGAGUAACCUGCCCUCAACUUCGGGAUAAGCCUGGGAAACCGGGUCUAAUACCGGAUAUGACCUGGGGUGGCAUCGCGCCGGGUGGAAAGAUUUUUUGGUUGGGGAUGGGCUCGCGGCCUAUCAGCUUGUUGGUGGGGUAGUGGCCUACCAAGGCGACGACGGGUAGCCGGCCUGAGAGGGCGACCGGCCACACUGGGACUGAGACACGGCCCAGACUCCUACGGGAGGCAGCAGUGGGGAAUAUUGCGCAAUGGGCGGAAGCCUGACGCAGCGACGCCGCGUGGGGGAUGACGGCCUUCGGGUUGUAAACCUCUUUCAGCAGGGACGAAGUUGACGUGUACCUGUAGAAGAAGCGCCGGCUAACUACGUGCCAGCAGCCGCGGUAAUACGUAGGGCGCGAGCGUUGUCCGGAAUUAUUGGGCGUAAAGAGCUCGUAGGUGGCUGGUCGCGUCUGCCGUGAAAGCCCAUGGCUUAACUGUGGGUCUGCGGUGGAUACGGGCCGACUAGAGGUAGGUAGGGGCAAGCGGAAUUCCU
rnacentral:rRNA from 1 species